rnacentral:lncRNA from 1 species
CAACGCCUCCAUCCCUAGCCGACUGCUGCAAGCUUCAGAGCUCAAGAGUCAGGGCGCCAUGGCGACAGAGACGGAGACCUUCGCCUUUCAGGCUGAGAUCAACCAGCUGCUCUCACUCAUCAUCAACACCUUCUAUUCCAACAAGGAGAUCUUCCUCCGGGAGCUCAUUUCCAACUCUUCCGAUGUAAGUCCGCCCCGUUAAGUCGAAGUCUGGGUGCAUCUUAGUGUGUUAGUGUUUGGGCGGUAACUUGUGCUAUGGUGUGAUUACACACUGCGGUUAAUACUGUUUCUGACGCUUGAUUUUGCGCUCCUACUUGGUGCUGUUUUUUGUGCGACUUCUGCAGG